rnacentral:lncRNA from 1 species
UCAAAGGUUUGAUAGCACCUUGCUUCAGGAGAGAGAGCUGUCCCUUUAAAGGAGUUUCCACAAACAAUAUCUCUCUCUCUCAAUAGGACAUACCAUUUAUUAAAGUGAUGGAUAAGUCCAGAUAAAAUCAUAAGCAAUUGCUCCACAAAUUGAAGGGAAGUCUUGGCGUAGCUGGUAAAGUUGAUGCCAUGUGAUUAGGAAGUCACGGGUUCAAUCCGUGAAAAUAGCCUCUUGCAGAAAUGCAAGGUAAGGUUGUGUACAAUAUAGAUCCAUAUGAUCCGAUCAUUCCCUGAACCCCGCACAUAGCGAGAUUUUAGUGCACUAGGCUGCCUCCCCCCUUUAAUUGCUCCACGAAUUGUCCCUCUGAAGCCAAGCUUAUGGAAGGAAAAAAAGUGUUUUUGAGGAGAAGCAGAAGCAGAAAAAAAUAGCUUCUCUCCAAAAACACUUUAGAAAAAUACACUUAGAAUCAGUUUUCAAAAGCUUGGCCAAACACUAAAUACUGCUCAAAAGUGUUUUUCAAAUUAAUUAGCCAAACACAAACUGCUUCUCACCAAAAGCACUUUUUUAAAAAGUACUUUUGAAAAAAACACUUCUCAAAAUAAGCCGAUUUUAGAAGCUUGGCCAAACGGGCUAUACUACAACUAAAUCUUUCAAAUUCUAAAGAAGUGAUGUUAAUUUUGAAUAAUGUGUCCUCUGAGAUCUAGACAAAGCUUCCAACAAUUCCUGCUAGCUCACACAUUUAUCAGCCCCUUUUAAUCAGUAACCACAUAACAAAGUUGGGAAAUCAUCCCCCCUCUGAUGAAUUAUUUGAUGCUUGAUUGGCACCAAAAAGAAAAAACAGGAGAUGGCAAGGGAAAUCCAAAUGAUUAAAAGUUCACUUUUCUCCAGGUACAAAUUUUGGCCUAAAAUAAGGGGGAUAUUCAAUACAACCAGACAAAAAAUCCAAGUGGUAGAAUCUAGUUUACAAAAAGAAAGUAAUUUACAGACAAAUCUCUUUCUGAAAUAGCAAGAUACUUUUUCCAGAUUGGAUUAAAAAAAUCAUGUAAGAGAAAUUCUAAUACUGGUAUCCAUCAUACAAAAAGAACUGUUCAACACCUACUUCAUAUUCAGAAUUUCAUAUUCAAGAAACUGUAACAAUUAUGACCUGACUUCAUAUUCCCCAGCCUUGGUUAGAGCUCGAAAACCUUUAUUAGGUCGUGAAGGUAGAUUCUUGAAAUCAAGUUUUUCUAUUUUCAAACCUGAGAGCGCAACACCCAUUAUUUUGAAUUCCACAAGAAAUGUAGGGAAUACAUGAAGCCGCUCUAAACCGGUUUCCAACACUAACGUUCCAGUCAUUGAAGGAGUUUUAUCUUUCGGCAUCCGGCCGAUGGACCAAGUGCAGGUCUGCACUAAUAAAGCAAUGUGUCAGGAUCCAACUAAACAAGAUAGAUUAGAUCCUAUCACAUAAUACAAAAAUGGAGUCAGCCUGAAAAAAGAAGAAAAAAGAAGAAAAAAACUAAGUUUACCAUCCAUUUCCAAGUUUUUUGUCAUUUUACAGUACAGUUAGAACUGACUAGUGUAGAAAAUAUCUUUACUCAGUUAUUCUUAAUCAACUGCAGGUAAUAACAUUUAUACUUCCAUUAAGAAAAGGCACCAAGAAUAAGCCAACUCUGAGAAUGAGAUGAAGUACCAAAUACCUUAUUGGAAAGGAUGUUUACUGUUCCAUAAUUUGAUGUAAGGUCUGCAGAUAAAACACGAGGGGGCAGUAGAAAUUGCACGCUUAUAUCAUCAAUUGCCUUCCCAGGAUCAUUGCGAAUCCCAACUAGCAAGCUAAUACGACAUGUCCCUGAGUCUGAAGUAAUUUGUGGCUUUACAUAUAUAGGGGUACUCUUCAACUUCUUUAUUCUGCAUUGGAUAUUUUAGAGGGGAAAACAGAAGAUUACCAAGAGAAGGUAAAAACAGCAAACAAGUGAAUUCUUUAAUGCACUUUGCCUAUGGUAAAUACUGCAAACAGGUAAAUUUUCCUGUUUUUCAUGUUUGUGCUAUGCACCUCGUAGUUCACGAUCUGCCCAUAACCUCAUCAACAAUGGACUAACUGUCACUGUUUAUGGAUACAUCUUAUAAUAAAUACUCCCUCCGUUUGAAAAAAAAUGAACCUAUUAUUAUUUGGGAAGUCAAACAAGGUUUUCUUUGACCACAUUUUUGCAAAUACUUUUUAAAUAUUUUGAAUCGUUAAACUAUUGUGACUUAUAGUAUUUUUUUACGUAAUUUCUAAAUAUGUCAAUUUUAUUUCAAAAUUUUUAAAAAAACCUAUGCAAAUUCACACCGAAAAUUAGUCAAUUCGACCCUCGUACUCGGAAAAGGUUCGUUCUUUUUGAAACGGAGGGAGCAGUGGUUGAGAAAAAAGAGACAAGCUUUUCUUUCUGUGCAUGGAGUUCAUUUAUGAACAGUUCAACUUUCAUUAUGCAUUUAUUAACAGUUCAACUUUCAUUAUUUGGAGGGAGCUGCGGGGAGGGGUUCUGGAACAUCCUGCCAAAGAUGGAGGGGUUAAUGUCAUGGGUUUCAAUAUUAGAGGGGAUAAAGAGUAGUAACUCUAUACAUGUGCAAGUACAUUCUAAGUGUAAACAGAAGAUUAGAACAUUCUUUAGGUAAAGCCAAACUAUAAAAUUUUACUCAUGAAUGAAGGCAAUGCCAAUUAUUAACAACACAAACCUGUAGCUCAUGAGCUUAAACUGUCCAUCAGGAGGAACAAAAGACAGAAUUUGGUUUGAUUCCCACGCUCGCAGCCGAACACAAGGAUGGAAUCUCACAUCAUUCAAGAUGGAAGGAUUUGCAAAUGAA